rnacentral:rRNA from 1 species
AGUAUGCCGUCGUCGACCCGAAACCAAGUGACCUACCCAUGUCCAGGGUGAAGGUGCAGUGAAAUGCACUGGAGGCCCGAACCCACGUACGUUGAAAAGUGCGGGGAUGAGGUGUGGGUAGCGGAGAAAUUCCAAUCGAACUUGGAGAUAGCUGGUUCUCUCCGAAAUAGCUUUAGGGCUAGCCUCGGAUAGUGCAUCGUGGAGGUAGAGCGACUGUUUGGACUAGGGGCCCUUAUCGGGUUACCGAAUCCUGAUAAACUCCGAAUGCCACUGAUGUAGAUCCGGGAGUCACACUGCGAGUGAUAAGAUCCGUAGUGGAAAGGGAAACAGCCCAGACCGUCGGUUAAGGUCCCAAAAUCCUUGUUAAGUGGAAAAGGAUGUGGGGCUGCUCAGACAACUAGGAUGUUGGCUCAGAAGCAGCCAUCAUUUAAAGAGUGCGUAAUAGCUCACUAGUCGAGUGGCCCUGCGCCGAAAAUUUACCGGGGCUAAACAAGGUACCGAAACCACGGAUAGAACCAAUGGUUCUAUGGUAGGAGAGCGUUCUAAGGGCAUUGAAGCAAGAUCGUGAGGACUUGUGGAGCGCUUAGAAGUGAGAAUGCCGGUAUGAGUAGCGAAACACGGGUGAGAAUCCCGUGCACCGAAUGACUAAGGUUUCCUGGGGAAGGCUCGUCCUCCCAGGGUUAGUCGGGACCUAAGCUGAGGCCGAUAGGCGUAGGCGAUGGACAACAGGUAGAGAUUCCUGUACCAGUCUGCUUUGUUUGAACAAUGGAGGGACGCAGGAGGCUAAGAUAAGCACGCUGUUGGAUAUGCGUGCCCAAGCAACAAGUCUGAGUAGGAGUCAAAUGCUUCUACUCACACGGACAAGUUGUGAUGGGGAGGGAACUUAUAGUACCGAAGUAUCUGAUGUCACACUGUCAAGAAAAGCUUCUAGUUAGAAGUAGGCUGCCCGUACCGCAAACCGACACAGGUAGUCGAGGAGAGAAUCCUAAGGUGAUCGAGAGAACUCUCGUUAAGGAACUCGGCAAAAUGACCCCGUAACUUCGGGAGAAGGGGUGCUGACCAACUGGUCAGCCGCAGUGAAUAGGCCCAAGCGACUGUUUACCAAAAACACAGGUCUCUGCUAAUUCGAAAGAAGAUGUAUAGGGGCUGACACCUGCCCGGUGCUGGAAGGUUAAGAGGAAAGGUUAGCUUCGGCGAAGCUUUGAAUUGAAGCCCCAGUAAACGGCGGCCGUAACUAUAACGGUCCUAAGGUAGCGAAAUUCCUUGUCGGGUAAGUUCCGACCCGCACGAAAGGUGUAACGAUUUGGGCACUGUCUCAACGAGAGACUCGGUGAAAUUAUAGUACCUGUGAAGAUGCAGGUUACCCGCGACAGGACGGAAAGACCCCAUGGAGCUUUACUGUAGUUUGAUAUUGAGUGUCUGUACAGCUUGUACAGGAUAGGUAGGAGCCAAUGAAACCAGGACGCCAGUCUUGGUGGAGGCAAUGGUGGGAUACUACCCUCGCUGUAUGGCCACUCUAACCCGCAACCGUCAACCGGUUGGGAGACAGUGUCAGAUGGGCAGUUUGACUGGGGCGGUCGCCUCCUAAAGAGUAACGGAGGCGCCCAAAGGUUCCCUCAGAAUGGUUGGAAAUCAUUCGAAGAGUGUAAAGGCAGAAGGGAGCUUGACUGCGAGACUUACAAGUCGAGCAGGGACGAAAGUCGGGCUUAGUGAUCCGGUGGUUCCGUAUGGAAGGGCCAUCGCUCAACGGAUAAAAGCUACCCUGGGGAUAACAGGCUUAUCUCCCCCAAGAGUUCACAUCGACGGGGAGGUUUGGCACCUCGAUGUCGGCUCGUCGCAUCCUGGGGCUGUAGUCGGUCCCAAGGGUUGGGCUGUUCGCCCAUUAAAGCGGCACGCGAGCUGGGUUCAGAACGUCGUGAGACAGUUCGGUCCCUAUCCGUCGCGGGCGUUGGAGAUUUGAGAAGAGCUAUCCUUAGUACGAGAGGACCGGGAUGGACAUACCGCUGGUGUACCAGUUGUCUUGCCAAAGGCAUCGCUGGGUAGCUAUGUGUGGACGGGAUAAACGCUGAAAGCAUCUAAGCGUGAAGCCCCCUUCAAGAUGAGAUCUCCCAUUCCUUUAAGGAAGUAAGAUCCCUGAGAGAUGAUCAGGUAGAUAGGCUGGAAGUGGAAGUACAGUGAUGUAUGGAGCGGACCAGUACUAAUCGAUCGAGGACUUAACCAC